ACUCGCUUGGUGAAAUUGGUAAACACGACAGACUUAAAAUCUGUUCCUAAUAGGUUAUCGGUUCAAGUCCGAUAGCGAGUA
rnacentral:tRNA from 1 species